rnacentral:rRNA from 1 species
AUGCAUAUUAUAUCUAUCAAAAUCAUCAUGUGUAACGGUAAAAGGCAACCCAUCAAUAUAAUCCUUAAUAAGUGCAAACUUCUUCGAUAUAGUGUAGUCGGGAGAAUUCAAAAAGAUAAUAGGACUAUCAUGCGUGGGUGCAAUAGCAACAAUUUCAUGUUUAACAUAAGGAACUAUAGCAAGUUCAUCUCCAUAAGCAUAAUUCAUAUUGGCAUCUUGGCCACAAGCAUAGCAAGCAUCAUCAAAAAGGGAUAUUUCAAAAGAAUCAAUGGGAUCAUAGCAAUUAUCAUAGCAUUCAUCAUUCGGUAA